CGGCGAUCCGUUAAGCGCGCUUUCUCUCACUCACGAGAAAACGGAGAAGACAAUCAUCGUCUUCCUCAUCAACUUUUCUUUCUUCUCACUCUUUUUGAAUCAUUAUAAUACUUAAUACUUUAUAAUAUAUGAUAUUUAUAAACUUUCCUUUUUUUAAAAAAAUUAAUUAAUUUUGAUUGCUUUGUUUACCAUAUUUUGCUUUUUUGGUAUAUUAUUUAUUUGAUUAAUUCUGUCCAUGGAUCUGAAAUUGAUACCCAGGAAUUUGUGUAGAAUUCGGAUUUGUAGAUCGCCAGUUAGCUGCAUUUGUGUGUUGUUUGACGUUCAGUAGUUGGAAGUAGAUUUUGUUGUGUGGAUAUUUCUUCGUGAUAGAGCAGGGGAUAUUGAGAUCAUGGAGAAGAAGAAGUAUCCGAUUGGACCGGAGCAUUACACGCUUUUCGAGGAGGUAGGCCAAGGAGUCAGUGCUUCGGUUCAUCGUGCCUUGUGUGUUUCUCUCAAUGAAGUUGUUGCCGUCAAAAUCCUCGAUUUCGAACGCGAUAAUUCCGAUUUGAAUAACAUCUCGCGUGAAGCCCAAACGAUGGUCCUAGUUGAUCAUCCCAAUGUUCUUAAAUCACAUUGCUCAUUUGUUAGUGAUCACAACCUAUGGGUAAUCAUGCCUUACAUGGCUGGAGGUUCCUGUCUCCACAUUCUGAAGGCUGCUCAUCCAGAUGGCUUUGAAGAGACUGUUAUUGCAACAGUAUUACGGGAAGUUCUAAAGGGAUUAGAAUAUCUUCACCAUCAUGGCUUCAUCCAUCGCGAUGUUAAAGCUGGAAAUAUUCUCAUUGAUUCACGAGGUGGAAUAAAGCUGGGAGAUUUUGGUGUCUCUGCUUAUUUAUUUGAUUCAGGUGAUAGGCAACGUAUGCGGAACACAUUUGUUGGAACUCCUUGUUGGAUGGCACCGGAGGUCAUGGAGCAAUUGCAUGGUUAUGAUUUCAAAGCUGAUAUUUGGUCCUUUGGCAUAACUGCAUUGGAGCUUGCUCACGGUCAUGCUCCUUUCUCAAAAUAUCCUCCAAUGAAGGUCUUGCUAAUGACAUUGCAAAAUGCACCCCCUGGCCUUGAUUACGAGAGAGAUAAGAAGUUCUCAAAGUCUUUUAAGCAAAUGAUUGCUAGUUGCUUGGUGAAAGAUCCUUCAAAACGACCUUCAGCCAAAAAAUUGCUGAAGCAUCCGUUCUUUAAGCAAGCAAGGUCCAAUGAUUAUAUAGGUAGGACACUGUUGGAGGGUUUGCCAGCACUUGGAGAUCGCAUGAAGGCAUUGAAGAGGAAAGAAGAAGACAUGCUAGCACAAAAGAAGAUACCAGAUGGGCAGAAAGAAGAAAUAUCACAGAAUGAAUAUAAACGGGGGAUUAGCAGCUGGAAUUUUAACCUUGAAGAUUUGAAGGCACAGGCUACCUUGAUUCCAGAUGAGGAGAUCCUUGGUUACAAGGACCUAGGUGGGAGUUCGAAUUCGCUGUCUGGGCUUGACAUUCCAGGGAAACAGCUAAAUAAGUUUCAGCAUCAGUUCUCCUUCUCAAGUCAAUAUUCAGAUGCUACUGAAUUUGACAGUAACAAUCCAUCUGCCCCUCCUUCACCUGCCACCCAGAAUGUGGCUUAUAACAUAACUAAAUGUGAGAAAUCUGAUGAUGAUUUAAGCAUUGCCAGUUCAUUUCAUGAUCAUCAAAUUUCACAAAAUUCAUCACCAUGCUAUGACAAUCGCAUGGAAUUGAAUUCGGCGGGAAAAGGUGACCAAGUGGCUGAUGCAAAGUUAUUCGAGGGCAUGCCUACAAAUUCUCGCCAAAGUGAUAAAAGUCAGUUCCAAAAUGUAUCCAGUUGCAAUGGGACUUCAGUUCUUCAAACAAUAGAUGAUGUACCAACUGAAGUAAUCAGUAAACACUGUAGAACCUCAGCAGCUAGCAGUGAAGAUUUUGAUGAGAAGACUAAGGGUCAUGUUGUUCAGCAAAGAGGACGUUUCAAAGUUACGUCAGAGAAUGUCGACUUGGAAAAGGUAGGUGCAUCUCCAAUGCUACACAAGAGUCAGAGCAUGCUGGUGAUGCCACAAACUCUUGCUGCUUCUCAACCAUUACCACUUGAUGUUACACCACCAAAUCUUCUUACGCCAUCCCAUUUUCCAGCGUUGCAGAGUAUUUUAGAGGCAAAUAUUCUUCAAAGGGAAAGUAUUCUUAGAUUGAUGAGGCAAGUGGCCGUUGGGGACAAUACGGUGGAUGCUGGAUGCAUGCCAUUAAAUUCGCUUGGUGUGGAGAAAUCGCUGUUGGAGGUUGCUCAUGACAAAGAAAAGGAAUUAAUUAGUGAAAACACUGAAUUGCAGUGGAGGUUGAUACGCGCUCAAGAAGAACUUCAAAAAUACAAAGCGGAAAACGCUCAAAAUAACUCUUGAAAUAGGAGACUGCAUAGGGGAUAUCACAAUCUUUAUAGUUCGGAUUACUCAAGAUACAUUGAUGUUAUUGAAAAACUGUAAAGGAGAAAUGAUUAGUAGCAGCAGCCUGAGAAAAUCUGCAAUCGGAGGGAUCAGAGGUAGCUAUGUUGCUCAGAUUCUUCCAAAAAGUCAAUGGGUGUGUUUCGGGUUUAGUAUAUUUGUGGAGAAUCCAAUAUGGAUGCGGAAUCGAGUCUUUUCUGUCAGCUGAAGUUAUCCACUCUCAUGUUUGGUAUAUUCUUGAUUGUAUUGGGAUCUUAAACCGCCAGUUUGAACGGACUUAUAACUUAUGACUUA